UUUAUACUCCCUCCGUCCGGAAAUACUUGUCCUAAAAAUGAAUAUAAUGAAUGUAUUUAUAACUAAAAUAAGUCUAGAUACAUUCAUCUUUAGUAUAAGUAUUUCCGGGUGGAAGGAGUACUAC
rnacentral:pre_miRNA from 1 species